rnacentral:tRNA from 1 species
GGUAAAAUGGCUGAGGAAAGCAUUAGACUGUAACUCUAAAAACAAAGGUUAAGCCCUCUUUUUGCCA